rnacentral:lncRNA from 1 species
ACACAUACUGUAUACUAACCGUCUCAGUUUGAGUAUUAGUAGAGUGUCUUGCUGUGGGGAAUCUAGAUUCCACGUGCUAUUGGAGUGUAUGCAAGGUUCUGAUGUUUAAAAGUACUUGUCGUUUAACUGAAACAAUUUUUAUUGUUCGGUUCACUCCUAUCUUUUUCUGAUUUAUGGCCCUCUCCCAUAUGGCACAUACUCUUACUGACUAUUUAUUUCUGCCACAUACUCCUUUGUAUGUUGUGUUUAAAUAUCUAAUUUUAUUUGUAUAUGCAUAUAUAUAAGCACACAUUUCCCUUCAGUAUUUUGUUGUGUUGUGUUUAAAUAUUUAAUUUUUAUUACUAUGUUGUUACAAUAGUUCCGGCGAUCUUCUAUAAUUUAAGGUUCUCAUUCCUUAGAGCUCCAAUUCUUGCUAUACCAUAUGAUAAAUCUCAU